rnacentral:rRNA from 1 species
GACGAACGCUGGCGGCGUGCCUAAUACAUGCAAGUCGAACGCAGUUGCGAACGGGUGAGUAACGCGUAGGUAACUGCCCCAUAGCGGGGGAUAACUAUUGGAAACGAUAGCUAAUACCGCAUACUGUGAGAUGGACCUGCGUUGUUUUAGCUAGUUGGUGGGGUAAAGGCUCACCAAGGCGACGAUACAUAGCCGAGCUGGGAGGGUGAACGGCCAAACUGGGACUGGGAAACGGGCCAGACUCCUAAGGGGGGCAGGAGUAGGGAAUCUUUGGCAAUGGACGGAAGUCUGACCGAGCAACGCCGCGGGAGUGAAGAAGGUUUUCGGGUCGGAAAGCUCUGUUGUUAGGGAAGCGGUAACUAAAGAGGAAGGGACGGCUAACUACGUGCCAGCAGCCGCGGUAAUUC